GACGAACGCUGGCGGCGUGCUUAACACAUGCAAGUCGAACGCUGAAGCUUGGUGCUUGCACUGGGUGGAUGAGUGGCGAACGGGUGAGUAAUACGUGAGUAACCUGCCCUUGACUCUGGGAUAAGCCUGGGAAACUGGGUCUAAUACUGGAUAUGACAUGCCACUGCAUGGUGGUGUGUGGAAAGGGUUUUACUGGUUUUGGAUGGGCUCACGGCCUAUCAGCUUGUUGGUGGGGUAAUGGCCUACCAAGGCGACGCGGGGUAGCCGGCCUGAGAGGGUGGCCGCCAAAACUGGGCUGGGGAACCGGCCAAGACCCUUCGGGGGGGAAGAGGUGGGGAAAAUUGCCCAAUGGGCGAAAGCCUGAUGAGGCGAGGCGGCUGGGGGAAUAACGGCCUUGGGGUGGAAACCUCUUUCAGCACGGAAGAAGCGAGAGUGACGGUACGUGCAGAAGAAGCGCCGGCUAACUACGUG
rnacentral:rRNA from 1 species